UACAUAUUAUGGUUAUUAAUCAGGCAAGAAAGUGACAUGACCUGCUGCCAACUUUAAUAAAAAUAUAUUAUCUUCUCAUACAUCGUUUUGCUAUUGAUGUCAUAUUAAAUAGCAAUCAAAUUGAUUACUAUUUUGAAAAUGUAUAAUUGAAGAUUCAUAUUGUCUUGAGUGCUGUUUUUAAUAUAAAAAGAAUGUUGAGUUUUCAGAGUCUUUAUUGUCAUUUUUUUGUGAUAGGACCCUACCAGACUAUAUUUGAAUACGGCAUACCCAUGAAUUCUGGAACUUUUAUUUCUUAACCCAGUUUGGAGGAUAAGAGCUUACCAACUAUGUGAGUACACACAGUACUUUAGUACUGUACACUGUCUCUAACAUGAUUAUACUGAGAUGAUUUUGAUUCAAAUAACGGUUAAAACUGCAUCCUUUUUGGUAUUUUCUUGACCCUUUUUGUCUUUGAAAAUCUGCAGAAAUAUGCUGAGGUGAUGUAUUGCAAAAUAGCCGACAUACAACAAUUAAAGGAUAAUUGCAGCCUAUAUCCUGAUGAAGAUAUGGAUGACCCUCUGUCUGGUCAACAAUAGUUUAAAUAUGGACGGGACAGUUAUGUGGCAGCUCUUCCCUGGCUCAUUCACCUCUUGCCUUCAUUUGUGAAAGGAGGAAAGACUGGAGAGGGUCAAUGUGCAACUGAAGCUACUGAUUGUGCUGUGUGAUGAGCAUCAAUCCAUGCUUUGAGGGGGGUGAACCAGCACAGCCCUGCCUGCUCUGCGUUGGGAACAAAAGUUGCAUCCAGAAUUUUUGCAUCAUUCUGGACCAAAAAGUCAUUCCCUCCAUGAUGAAGACCACUGAUGCAGCCUUCCACUACAUCAUGAGUAAAACAACUACAGAACUAAAUACCAGGUUGGAACGUGUUUAAGAAAAAUAAAACGUCUUUUGAAUUGAAAUGUCUGUUUUGUUAUGGAAAAAUCUUUAGUAUUGUGAAUGAUAAGCAUUUCUGCUUGUCGAUAAGGUAAUUGCAUGUAUUUUAAUGUUCAAGUUUUGAGUAGGGUGGCUAAUUUUUUUAACUCUUAUUUGAUUUAUUAAAGACCUUUAUAAUAAGUGGUUUUCAUGUCACUGCGCUGUGGUAUAAGAUAACUUUCAUUAUUCCAUACUGUAUUCUGUUUCUAAUUGUAGCUGAGGUAUUUAAAUAAGCAGUGUUAAAUGCAAAGUGUUGUGUGUAUCAAUGUAAAUAUUAAAUGUGAUUUACUUUAAUAAAAAGAGGUUUUGCAAUA